rnacentral:rRNA from 1 species
AUGAUGCAACAUCGACUAUGUCGAAUAAAAUUCUAGGUAGAAUUAUGAUAAUGACAUUGUCUGCCUAUGUGUCUUGACCAAAUUACGUGCCAGCAGUCGCGGUAAUACGUAGAAGACUAGUGUUAUUCAUGUUUAAUCGGUUUAAAGGGUACCUAGACGGUAAAUCAAGCUUUCCAAGAAAUAAAGUUAAAGGACUAAUUUACUAGAGUUACUUGUGAGGGGGCAUUAAAGUACUGCUGGUGUAGAGAUGAAAUUCUGUCAUACCUCUUUUCAAUAGAAAAACGAUGGCACAGGUAUAGGCGAAGGCAUCCCCUUAUGUGAUAACUGACGUUGAGGGACGAAGGCUUUGUAUAGCGAACAGGAUUAGAUACCCCAGUAGUCGAGGCAGAAAAUGAUGAAUGUCAUAGAUUAGAGGUAAGUUUAUUCUAUAAAUGAAAGUGUAAGCAUUCCACCUCAUGAGUAAUUUGGCAACAUUGGAACUGAAAUCAUUAGACCGUUUCUGAAACCAGUAGUGAAGUAUGUUGUUUAAUUUGAUGAUCCGCAAAAAACCUUACCACAAUUUGAAUAUUUAUAUUUUUUUUUAUUGUUUUCUUAUUAAUUUUCU